rnacentral:rRNA from 1 species
UGGGGAAUAUUGGACAAUGGGCGCAAGCCUGAUCCAGCAAUGCCGCGUGCAGGAUGAAGGCCUUCGGGUUGUAAACUGCUUUUGUACGGAACGAAAAGCUUCUGGUUAAUACCUGGGAGUCAUGACGGUACCGUAAGAAUAAGCACCGGCUAACUACGUGCCAGCAGCCGCGGUAAUACGUAGGGUGCGAGCGUUAAUCGGAAUUACUGGGCGUAAAGCGUGCGCAGGCGGUGAUGUAAGACAGAGGUGAAAUCCGCGGGCUCAACCUGGGAACUGCAUUUGAGACUGCAUGGCUGGAGUGCGGCAGAGGGGAAUGGAAUUCCGCGUGUAGCAGUGAAAUGCGUAGAUAUGCGGAGGAACACCGAUGGCGAAGGCAAUCCCCUGGGCCUGCACUGACGCUCAUGCACGAAAGCGUGGGGAGCAAAC